UGGUUCCUUAUGCAUCCAUCUGCUCAAACUUACUUCCUAGCAAAAGUAAUAAUCCUUUGUGACAUCAGGAAUGGUUACUGUGGUGAUGACUAGGAUGCACACCUGAGAAAAUGACGACCUGAGAGCAAUAAACGGUAGUGGCUGAUCAUACUAAUAAGCUCUCAUCUAAAUUUUGUUACAAAUUACUACUGAGAAACAUGAGAAAAUUUGAGACUACUGUGAAUAUAGCAGCACUGAAUGAUGAACUGAAUGCUGAGUUGGGUAAAUACCCAGGAAUGGAACAUCUGAAUCAUAUGCCCCUACUAAAUAACUUUGAACAAGUAUGUCUAAUAUCAAUUAUUUCCUGACCUCAAGAAGUAACAUCUGCAAACAGAGAAAACUCAGUCUCCAAUCACCAAUUUAUCCUUACAAAUUAUAAAUACAGCAUGGGAAUUUAAUGUGAAGCUCUUUAGUACCAUAAGACCAUUUAACUACAUCAGCAAUUUAAAAUAUGCACAGCUAUAUAAACAAAACUAAUCACUGAAAGAAGGGAAUACUACAGAGAUGGCCAAAUAAGGAGGAAAAAAAGAACUCUUUCUUUUUAAUAUCACCUUUGAGAGAAAUGUAUAAUGAAACACGCUGAAGGAUGUCAAACUUCUUAUAAAAAGAGUUACUUGGCAAAGUUCAAGGCAAAAGAGCUAUUUUAAAAUGUUGCUUAUAUCAGAAGUCUGUUUGGAUACUUCGAAAGAGAAAUCCAUAACUGAAGUACCUUUGGU